AAUAUUGGACAAUGGGGGCAACCCUGAUCCAGCCAUGCCGCGUGUGUGAAGAAGGUCUUCGGAUUGUAAAGCACUUUAAGUUGGGAGGAAGGGCAGUAAGUUAAUACCUUGCUGUUUUGACGUUACCGACAGAAUAAGCACCGGCUAACUUCGUGCCAGCAGCCGCGGUAAUACGAAGGGUGCAAGCGUUAAUCGGAAUUACUGGGCGUAAAGCGCGCGUAGGUGGUUCAGUAAGAUGGGUGUGAAAUCCCCGGGCUUAACCUGGGAACUGCUUUCAUAACUGGCAAGCUAGAGUAUGUCAGAGGGGGGUAGAAUUCCACGUGUAGCGGUGAAAUGCGUAGAUAUAGGAAGGAACACCAGUGGCGAAGGCGACCACCUGGGCUAAUACUGACACUGAGGUGCGAAAGCGUGGGGAGCAAAC
rnacentral:rRNA from 1 species